UGGGUCGUUAGCUCAGUUGGUAGAGCAGUUGGCUUUUAACCAAUUGGUCGUAGGUUCGAAUCCCACACGACCCACCAU
rnacentral:tRNA from 3 species